rnacentral:lncRNA from 1 species
CGUGAUUAGACCGCACAGCCAGCCACAGAGCACACCUCUGAGACAACAUCAGUCAUUACAGUCCCUGAGUACUUGGCGUUACUGGAGUUCAUGAACCCCAGCCCUGUCCUAAUUCCCAAACGGGCAGAUGGUUCAGGUGAACCUGUAAGGAAGCAGAACCAGUGUGAUGGUGAAGCAGCUCCAGGCCUUCCCCUCGGUCCUUCCCCUUCUCCCCACUGCCAUCUGGGCCCCUUGGGGAGCAGCAGAAGCCAGAAGAAAGGACCCUGAAACAUCAGCUGGUUGCAAGCAACAAGUCAAGGUGCGGAGAUGCUGGAGAGAACAGGUUACGGAGUCCAAGGAGAGCCAAGGUGUCCCAGUGGGGCUCAUUAGAACAUGCCUGAGGAAGAGUUUUGUAGGGCACAAACCACCCAGAAAGAAAGACCCUGAUGCAGAGUCCCUGUUGCUUGUGUUAUGAUUCACUGACGGUUGCCAUAGACUCCACACGACAUCUUCAUCUGUUAGAGAUAUCUUCCAAUCCAUGUGGUCUGCUGAUCAAAUGGCCCAGGAGCUAGAGCUAUAA